rnacentral:rRNA from 1 species
CCUACGGGAGGCAGCAGUGGGGAAUAUUGGGCAAUGGGCGCAAGCCUGACCCAGCAACGCCGCGUGAAGGAAGAAGGCUCUCGGGUUGUAAACUUCUUUUAUCAGGGACGAAGCAAGUGACGGUACCUGAUGAAUAAGCCACGGCUAACUACGUGCCAGCAGCCGCGGUAAUACGUAGGUGGCAAGCGUUAUCCGGAUUUACUGGGUGUAAAGGGCGUGUAGGCGGGAAGGCAAGUCAGAUGUGAAAACCAUGGGCUCAACCUGUGGCCUGCAUUUGAAACUGUUUUGCUUGAGUACUGGAGAGGCAGGCGGAAGUCCUAGUGUAGCGGUGAAAUGCGUAGAUAUUAGGAGGAACACCAGUGGCGAAGGCGGUCUGCUGGACAGCAACUGACGCUGAGGCGCGAAAGCGUGGGGAGCAAACAGGAUUAGAUACCCGUGUAGUC